GAUGAACGCUGGCGGCGUGCUUAACACAUGCAAGUCGAACGGUGAAGGCGGAGCUUGCUCUGCUGGAUCAGUGGCGAACGGGUGAGUAACACGUGAGCAAUCUGCCCCUGACUCUGGGAUAAGCGCUGGAAACGGCGUCUAAUACUGGAUACGAGCUGCGAAGGCAUCUUCAGCAGCUGUAAAGAACUUCGGUCAGGGAUGAGCUCGCGGCCUAUCAGCUUGUUGGUGAGGUAACGGCUCACCAAGGCGACGACGGGUAGCCGGCCUGAGAGGGUUACCGGCCACACUGGGACUGAGAGACGGACCAGACGCCUACGGGAGGCAGCAGUGGGGAAUAUUGCACAAUGGGCGAAAGCCUGAUGCAGCAACGCCGCGUGAGGGAAGACGGCCUUCGGGUUGUAAACCUCUUUUAGCAGGGAAGAAGCGAAAGUGACGGUACCUGAAGAAAAAGCGCCGGCUAACUACGUG
rnacentral:rRNA from 1 species